rnacentral:rRNA from 1 species
GGGAGUACGGUCGCAAGGCUAAAACUCAAAGGAAUUGACGGGGGCCCGCACAAGCGGUGGAGUAUGUGGUUUAAUUCGAAGCAACGCGCAGAACCUUACCUACCCUUAACAUCCCGGGAAGUUUGCAGAGAUGUAAACGUCACUUCGGUGACUCGGAGAUAGGUGCUGCAUGGCUGUCGUCAGCUCGUGUCGUAAGAUGUCUGGUUAAGUCCAAUAACGAGCGCGACCCUUGCCCUUAGUUACCAUCAUUAAGUUGGGGACUCUAGGGGGACUGCCGGUGUUAAACCGGAGGAAGGCGGGGAUGACGUCAAGUCCUCAUGGCCCUUACGGGUAGGGCUACACACGUACUACAAUGGCAGGAACAAACUGUUGCGAAACCGUGAGGUGGAGCUAAUCGGUAAAACACUGUCUCAGUCCGGAUUGGAGUCUGCAACUCGACUCCAUGAAGUUGGAAUCGCUAGUAAUCGCUGAUCAGCAAGCAGCGGUGAAUACGUUCCCGGGCCUUGUACACACCGCCCGUCACACCACGAAAGUGGUCACAACCAGAAGUACGUGAGCUAACUUCGGAGGCAGCGUACCAAGGUUAUGGCCGUGAUUGGGGUGAAGUCGUAACAAGGUAACCAAGGG